AACUGUUUCCUCAUGUCGUCAGAGUGGGGGAGAGAGAGAGUGAUGGAUUGCUUCUGUGAUGCGUGGAGAUUGAGCUGCUGCGAAAUUGAGGGGCGGGCACUUUGCUUCUGUGCUUGGCGUUCUUAAGUUGGCAAGAAUAGUAUCCUUCUCCGAAAGUGCUCGCCGGGAUGCAGGUACGACGGCUGAAAUUGGACAGGGAUUGGGUUCCAA
rnacentral:misc_RNA from 1 species